rnacentral:lncRNA from 1 species
UAAAGGGAAUGACAUCCCCUUCGUCUCCGUCCCCUUUAGGGGAAGAAGGGUAACACCCCUUCGGUUCCCCUUUAGGGGAUGAGCCAGAACGCACGCUAAGACUACCUUAUUGGGCUACAACUUAGUCGCCCUUCGGAACCGGACUUAGGCCGGACAAUAAAGUAACUUAUAAUUACGUUGGAACUUAAGGCCGUAGGCUGUAACUCGUUGAGGUUUUCAGUCGUUAACGUAAGUUACAAUUGCGUUGUUACUAAACGGACUUGUUCCUGAGUUGUGUUUUUGCUAUAUGUUGUAACAUAAGCAACUAGGUUAAACGCCGUUAAACUACAAAGCUUUGUUGAUCGGCCAAAAGAAAAAAGCUACACUAAUGCUAGUUGUUUUUGAUAAGAUUUUUGAUUUACGUAAAAAAUUUUAGUAGAGCUUAACGUAGUUAAGGUUAUGCAAAAUUUGGGUGACCCAUACUAAAACUAUAGGACCGAACAAAGUAAACUUUGUUCGUUGACUAUACGGCCUUUGGCCGGAUGGUUUGCUCUGCCAAAACGUUCCCCUUGGGAAAAGCUACCAUAAACCUUCGGCUGGAUCGUCACAAAGGGGGGGAUCUAUCUUUAAUUUAAUUUUAUUUUUUUUUUAUAAAACAAAUAGCUUUUUUUCUACACUCGAGGCUAUGCCCCCUAUUUUUUACAUAACUACACGUAGACGAAAAAAACGUUAGGGAUCGUUACGAAUUGGUUACACUAGCUCAUGAAGUCCGUUGUAAAGUUAAUACAAUAGCAGCGAGCUGUGAACGUCAAGGUUUAACGCAAACUUAGCUAAUUAAAGGUGUACCGCCCAUGAGCUACGUUGUAGUUCCCCUUUCCGUAUUGCUUCCCCGAAGGGGACAGNCAACAAGCGUAAACAAUUCGGCCUAGGCCGGAUCAAGAAAAAUUCGUGUGAAGGCUUUUAAUUGUGCUUUCCUUGUCUUCCCCUUUGGUUCCCCUUUGGUUCCCCUGGUCCCCUUUGUUCAUCAUCCCCUAAA